rnacentral:rRNA from 1 species
GUAGACGCGGCGGGUGCUAAUACAUGCAAGUCGAACGCACGAAGUUGAAGAGCUUGCUCUUUAACCAAGUGAGUGGCGGACGGGUGAGUAACACGUGGGUAACCUGCCCAUUAGAGGGGGAUAACAUUCGGAAACGGAUGCUAAUACCGCAUAGUUUCAGGAAUCGCAUGAUUCUUGAAGGAAAGGUGGCUUCGGCUACCACUAAUGGAUGGACCCGCGGCGUAUUAGCUAGUUGGUGAGGUAAUGGCUCACCAAGGCAAUGAUACGUAGCCGACCUGAGAGGGUGAUCGGCCACACUGGGACUGAGACACGGCCCAAACUCCUACGGGAGGCAGCAGUAGGGAAUCUUCCGCAAUGGACGAAAAUCUGACAGAGCAACGCCGCGUGAGUGAAGAAAGUUUUCGGAUCGUAAAACUCUGUUGUUAAAGAAGAACAAGGAUGAGAGUAACUGCUCAUCCCCUGACGGUAUUUAACCAGAAAGCCACGGCUAACUACGUGCCAGCAGCCGCGGUAAUACGUAGGUGGCAAGCGUUGUCCGGAUUUAUUGGGCGUAAAGCGAGCGCAGGCGGUUCUUUAAGUCUGAUGUGAAAGCCCCCGGCUCAACCGGGGAGGGUCAUUGGAAACUGGAGAACUUGAGUGCAGAAGAGGAGAGUGGAAUUCCACGUGUAGCGGUGAAAUGCGUAGAUAUGUGGAGGAACACCAGUGGCGAAGGCGACUCUCUGGUCUGUAACUGACGCUGAGGCUCGAAAGCGUGGGGAGCAAACAGGAUUAGAUACCCUGGUAGUCCACGCCGUAAACGAUGAGUGCUAAGUGUUGGAGGGUUUCCGCCCUUCAGUGCUGCAGCUAACGCAUUAAGCACUCCGCCUGGGGAGUACGGCCGCAAGGCUGAAACUCAAAGGAAUUGACGGGGACCCCACAAGCGGUGGAGC